rnacentral:rRNA from 1 species
UACGAAGGGGGCUAGCGUUGUUCGGAAUCACUGGGCGUAAAGCGCACGUAGGCGGCUUUCUAAGUCAGGGGGUGAAAUCCUGGAGCUCAACUCCAGAACUGCCUUUGAUACUGGAAGCUUGAGUCCGGGAGAGGUGAGUGGAACUGCGAGUGUAGAGGUGAAAUUCGUAGAUAUUCGCAAGAACACCAGUGGCGAAGGCGGCUCACUGGCCCGGUACUGACGCUGAGGUGCGAAAGCGUGGGGAGCAAACAGG